rnacentral:rRNA from 1 species
CAGCCGUAAACUAUGCGCGUUAGGUGUAUCGGUGACCACGAGUCACCGAGGUGCCGAAGGGAAACCGUGAAACGUGCCGCCUGGGAAGUACGGUCGCAAGGCUGAAACUUAAAGGAAUUGGCGGGGAGCACCACAACGGGUGGAGCCUGCGGUUUAAUUGGACUCAACGCCGGGAAGCUCACCGGAUAAGACAGCGGAAUGAUUGCCGGGCUGAAGACUCUGCAUGACUAGCUGAGAGGAGGUGCAUGGCGUAGACGUCU